UCUGCUUGCUUGCAGUCAGGCAGUGGAUUUGUUUUCUUCUGAGAACUCUGACAAAAUGGCUGUGAGCAUAGGAGUGAAUAAAAUGCAGCUAAGACAAACCACAAAUUGCAACCUUGUUAGACCCAUUCUAGCACCUCAGCAGAAGACGAUGGAGACUUGAAAACUGGCAGGCACUCAGGACUCAGUUCAGUAAAACACUUAAGCAUGUACUUAACUUUAAGAUUGUGAACAAUCCCUCUGACCUCCAUGGGAGAGAAAACAGAGAUGCAGAGGCCAAGCGACUCCUCCAAGCUCCCACAACAGCAUGGAUGAGCUUGCCCUAGUAAAAGGAGAUAAUGGAGACAUUUUGGAUGAUGCUUCAAGGAGUUGAUCAACAUCAUUGUAGGAAAACUGACUUUCAUCCAGUACAUGACCAAGAUAGCGCAAGAAGAAAGAUUACAUCCCUACAGCAGUCUUCAAAGCCUUGGAGUCAGAGAGUGAAAUAGGAAAUGAACUGCAGUUCAGUGACCCUCUGUGGC